rnacentral:RNase_P_RNA from 1 species
CUCUAUCAGCCGGCUAUCGCUGCUUUUUAAGCGGAGGAAAGUCCGGACAGCAAAGAGCAACAUACCGGAUAACAUCCGGCUGCAAAAUGCAAGAGAAAGUGCCACAGAAAAUAACCGUUUCUACUAUCGUAGGAAUAAGGGUGAAAACGUGAGGUAAGAGCUCACGAUAAUAAAAAGUAAUUUUUAUUAUGGGUAAACCUUAUGUGCUGAAAUGCCAUGUAAACCGGCGGUCGAAAGAGAAGAACUGCUCGUUCAAAAUUCGUCGGAGGGUAGGCAGAUAAAAUUUUGCAGUAAUGUAAAAUUCAGAUAAAUGAUAGCCACCGCAAGGAACAGAAUCCGGCUUAUGGCUGAUAGAGUUUU